rnacentral:lncRNA from 1 species
CUCGCUCCGACCAAGCAUACGCAGCACGAAUCGUGGAUCGCCAUUGAUUACUAGUUAAGGCUGAAGGUUUGUUUAAUGGGUACGAGAUACUGCUGCUGUCUCUUCACGUGUUCUUUCUCCUUGAGCUGCCGCCCGGCUUUGACUUUGUAUGUAGGAUCACGUAUCCAGAGAUGCGGCUCUGCUAGCCUGCUACUCCACUCCCGUUGCCGAUGGUAGAAAGUAGAAACGGGCGUCCUAGGGCAUCGCAUGGCUGCUACUGGCGUCUACACUUGGUGUACUUAGGCCGGUGUAGAAAUGUUCCGAACGCGUGCCUUUUUCUCAAGGAAGUUGAAAUUUCUUUUGCGCGAAUCAUGUGCUUCCUCUGCAUCUAAUCUCAUUUAAUUUCCACGGGCAUUAUCUUGACCAUGCAUCUUCUGGUAGGAACAUCUACAAUCACACUUGGUAAAUACAACCACUCAAA